GUUUUUGUAUGGGGCUGUAGCACAGUGAUCGGCUUUUCGGUAAUGCCAUCACUCUCGACGUUAAAUUUGGAGAUGAUACUCCUCAUGUCGCCCCCACCCUGUCUAUCCUCCGCCCGAUGUUGGGCGAUAUGGAGGGCCCGCAGGUCUGCCUGGCAACCGGAUUCUACCCGGAUAUAUCGAACAGAGUGCUCCUUAACCCGCUUAAGGAUAUCACCAAUCAACUUUUGAUAUCCCCCAGGAGCAAAUCAUACACCUAUGCUACAUUUUCCAAAGGAAGUAUCAUCAGUAGUUGUUCAGUGGAAGGUGCAGAUAAUGAGGCAGUUCCGACAAAUGCCAACCCAACAACUGCCUACCUAACAACUAGGUCUACCCCAGUAACCGUCAACACAUCAUCAGCCCACAAAUUAGAAAAUCACACCGAAGUCUUCAACGCAGAACCCUCCGACAAUAACAGGCUGAGCUCGUACUACCUGCUGAUAAACGGCCUGCGACACAUCCUGACCAAAACCCUUGUUCUCAACGUGCUGGUGGUCCUCCGAGGUCUGCUGGCCUAGAAGACCACCGCAGGGCACACAUGGACACAUUGGUUGGAAAUAUACUCCAUCAUGCCGUAAUCAUGAUCAGGACCUGAAUCUGAUUCUUUAAAGAGGUCAGGAUGUGGAUUAAGGAUGGAUAGGCAUAUUGUUGUGGUGUAUAGUAGGCCUAAGUAAAUUGUAAUUGACAAUUGAGAAUUUGAAGAGAAAGGAUUAGGAUAUAGUAAAAAUCACAUUAAGGCUUCAUUGUGGUGAUGUUUAUUUUUUCACUUUCGUUUUAUUGUCUGUACAGUCUGUAUGUAUUCCUUUCUUAUUUGUAAAGCGUCUUUGAGCAUUUAGAAAAGCACUGUAAAAAAAAGAUCAAUUAUUAUUAUUAUUAUUGUUAAACUCAAGCAGCCAGCACCUGUUCAAUCUAUCGCUGGGACCGGUUGAAGCUUGAUGGUAUCAGAUAGAUGUGGACAGCUGGGGAAUGAGAAGAAGAGAAAUUUGAAGCAUGAGGUAUAAUAUGUAAUGAAUAAUAACAAUUUAUAGUCUACUGAUUGGACAAACCCCUAUCAUUUAAAUUAAUAUGGUGCACAAACAACUUUGGCCCUUGGGCCAAAAAUAAAACAAAGUUGUUACACAUGUAUUUCUGGGGUCUUCUGGAGGCUUAAGAAGGCUGCUUGUCUGUCUUCUCUUGUUAUCUUGGUGUCAGUCGUGGUGCUUGUUAUUAGUGAGGAAAACCACAUUUUUACUGAAACUUGAAACCAUGGCAACAGAGGAAAUCCUCCAUGCUGAUUACGAUCUAAUAUUCUCUGACAGUUUGUUGAGUAUCGGAAUAUCUGCCCGCAAAGCUUUAAAACGAGGCUGUCAUUGACAAGCACGAUGCUCAUAAGUCACUUAUGUAUAGAGUUUUAUAGGUUUUUUUUUUGUCAUUAUGUGUAACAUCCACAACCUGGAGAAAUCGAUCAUGUACUGCUGAAUUGGACGUCUUGUUUUUUGGUUUUUCACUUGCAAAAUAUAAAUAAAAAAAGGUUUUCACAGCCCACACCAGCCAACAUAGUCCUAUGUCUUUUCACGCAAUUCACAGGAAAAGAGCAGCGAUUUGGAUUGAACCCGGGUCCUGAUUUGACAGAAGGCCUAUUGCCGUUUCUCUGUAAUAGUGUGUUUCUGCAGGCGAAGUGGUGUCUACAGCUUAGAUGAGCAUUUUUUGUUAUUGACGCUUGGACGUCAUCGAUGGAGCUAUCGACACAAAACUUGUGACACUUGAGUUAGGGGAGAUUUCAUCUAUGUGCACGAUAAAUAACCUGAUCCUGGCUCAAGUGAACUUGUGAUUCCUAGAAUUGAGUUGACCUUAUUAUUUUAUGGAAACUAUAAUAACUUCUACGCAUUUUUGAGUCAGACACGUUCUUAGAACAUGCAUCACAUCAAGUGUUAUUUGCACCUGUGGCAAUUUAGAAGAUUUUUUCAAGUGUUCAAAAUUUCACUGUACAGAGAAAUCUAUCCAGAUGGACAGUAUUGGUCAAAGAGGCAAACCUUUACAGCAUGUAAAAUAAGGCCUGUAACAAGUAGCAACAGAUAGCCUACUCUUAGAAUCCUAUCUAAUAGGAUGCUACAAUAAUACUUCCGUUGUAAUCUGGUGUGACGCUGCCCCCUGCUGGAUACAGGUAGAGUUGUCUUUCUGUCAAUAUUUUCCUAAACAGCGAUGGAAGUGAGUAAACCCAGCCCCUUUCGGGUGCAAUCUUUACGGUAACUAAAAAAAGGAAAAAAAAGACCAUUGGUUGGCGAUUGGACCACAUAUUUAGAGAGUGGCAUUUGUUUAAACCAUUUUUUUGGUUUGGUUUGUAGAAGUUUGGAUUGAACCCGGGUUCAACAAGUGUUUUUACAAAGCAGUUUUUAAUUAUGAGAUGUAAAAGUAUUUCCCAAUACGCGUGUGUUACUAUAUCGGUAGAUAUGAAUAAAUGUAACGCUGAUAUUCCCAUCACUGGAUUUCAGAGCUUCGAACGGUUCUAACCGAGGCCUGGGAGCGCAUUGUAUGAUUGUUUGACAAGGUUAUACUAUUGAAAAAGUAUAAAGAUAAAGAGAUGUUUAAUGUUGCGUGCGUGCGUGCGUGUGUGUGUGUGUGUGUGUGUGUGUGUGCGUGCGUGCGUGCGUGUGUGUGCGCGUGUUUGUCUUGCUGCUUCCAGGCCCCAGGUCCCAGGUGAGCGUGUGAUGAUGUCACACUCACCAGGAUCCAGGUCAUUGGGUCAUCCUGCGCGACUGUGCCUGAACUACUUUACUUGUGGUUCACUUCCCUUCCUACAGCAUGGAUGUUUAGUUCCAGAGACUCCACUCCACUUUUUUAUUCUUGUUUUAGUACUCAUGGCGUUAACACUACUUCUAC
rnacentral:lncRNA from 1 species